UACGUAGGUGGCAAGCGUUGUCCGGAUUUACUGGGCGUAAAGAGCGCGCAGGCGGUCGUUCAAGUCGCGUGUGAAAGCCCCCGGCUCAACUGGGGAGGGUCACGCGAUACUGAUCGACUGGAAGGCAGGAGAGGGUAGUGGAAUUCCCGGUGUAGUGGUGAAAUGCGUAGAUAUCGGGUGGAACACCAGUGGCGAAGGCGACUACCUGGCCUGUUCUUGACGCUGAGGCGCGAAAGCUAGGGGAGCAAACGGG
rnacentral:rRNA from 1 species